GAUGAAGAACGUAGCGAAAUGCGAUAAGUAAUGUGAAUUGCAGAAUUCAGUGAAUCAUCGAAUCUUUGAACGCACAUUGCGCCCAUUAGUAUUCUAGUGGGCAUGCCUGUUCGAGCGUCAUUUCAACCCUUAAGCCUAGCUUAGUAUUGGGAAUCGACUUUACUGUCGUUCCUCAAAUUCAACGGCGGAUUUAUAGCAAUCUCUGAACGUAGUAAUUUUUUUCCUCGUUUUUGAAAUACUAUAAACCUCAGCCGCUAAACCCCCAAUUUUUCUAUGGUUGACCUCGGAUCAGGUAGGAAUACCCGCUGAACUUAAGCAUAUCAAUAAGCGGGA
rnacentral:misc_RNA from 1 species